GUCCAAAAAUGCAGCACACACCUAUUGGCCCUUAAUCACUUGUAGCUGGGCUCGCUCCUUUUUUUUUGGCUUCCUCCUUCGAAGCCGCUCAGCCAGCGACGGAGGAAACGGCGACAUGUUGCGACGCAGCCCGUGAAAUCGCGCUGGGAGGGUCAGAGCCCUCGCUGGCAGCAAGGCUCACGCAGAGCAAGCCCCUAAUGCCGGGGGGAAACUGGGGCCUGUGAAAACGGUCCUAAUUUGGGGCCUGUAUACGGAGCGAGGGGCGUUCGUUGCAGAAGGCGAGCAGAAAUCCCUCUUUAGAAAUGAGGAAAAAAUAAGAGCUAGCAAAAGAGAAUUACAACACGUCAUUCUGGGGGAAAAAGUCUUCGAUGCUUCAUCCAUCUGCAGGCCAGGAGAUUCCUCAAAAGCAGUUCAAGACAGUCUUCCUGAGGAGAGCUAGCUGCUGCGCAGUGCAAUCACACUCUCUUCUAUUGAGUGAACGACAGAUACAUAUGCAACUUUAUAAUAAAGGAACUAAAGAGAAUGUUGCACCUGGGAUUCACAGAGGAAUCUGCCAGCUCAGACUGUUUGGCAGAGUUACCUGUGUGUGGCUCCUCUCGGACUUUCUCCAGGGCCCUUUCUGCUGAAACAGAGCUGAAGAAGUUCAGGAUGAGGCAGAAUCUUUUUCAGGUUCUGUGACCAUACUGGAGACUUCAAGUUUAGCAGUCUGAGCUCACAUCCAGCA